GUUUAGGGUUUACGGUUUAGUGUUUGGUAUUUUCGGUUAGGGUUUGGGGUUUAGGAUUUGAGGUUUAGGGUUUAUGGUUUAGUGUUUAGGUUUUAAGGUUUAGGGAUUUGGGUUUAGGGUAUUGGUUUUAGGGUUUAUGAUUUAGGGUUUAUGGUUUAUGGUUUAGUGUUUAGGGUUUAUGGUUUAGGGUUUAUCGGUUUGGGUUUAUAUUUUGGGGUUAUG